AAGGGCUUAGUUUAAUUAAAAUGAUUGAUUUGCAUUCAAUAGAUGUAAGAUGAAGUCUUGCAGUCCUUA
rnacentral:tRNA from 1 species